rnacentral:rRNA from 1 species
GUUCAUGGCUCAGGAUGAACGCUAGCUACAGGCUUAACACAUGCAAGUCGUGGGGAAACGACAUCGAAAGCUUGCUUUUGAUGGGCGUCGACCGGCGCACGGGUGAGUAACGCGUAUCCAACCUGCCCAUCACUUGGGAAUAACCUUGCGAAAGUAAGACUAAUGCCCAAUGAUAUCCCACGAAGGCAUCCGAAUGGGAUUAAAGAUUUAUCGGUGAUGGAUGGGGAUGCGU